rnacentral:lncRNA from 1 species
AAAAGUGCCGGUCAAAAUGGAAGUGAAUCCCCCUAAACAGGAGCACCUGCUGGCGCUAAAAGUGAUGCGGCUGACUAAGCCUACUUUAUUCACCAAUAUCCCAGUAACAUGUGAAGAGAAAGACUUACCUGGAGAUCUCUUUAACCAGCUGAUGAGAGAUGAUCCUUCAACCGUUAAUGGUGCAGAAGUUUUAAUGUUGGGAGAAAUGCUGACUUUACCACAGAAUUUUGGGCUGAUCUUCAGACAAGUUCUCAGCGUUUAAAUCUUUCAGCCUCCAAUGCUGCAGUGGCUGAACUUAAACCGGAUUGUUGUAUUGAUGAUGUCAUACAUCAUGAAGUCAAAGAAAUUGGAACACACAUCUUGGUAUGUGCUGUGAGUUAUACAACUCAGGCUGGAGAAAAAAUGUAUUUCAGAAAAUUCUUCAAAUUUCAGGUUCUCAAACCAUUGGAUGUGAAAACCAAAUUUUACAAUGCAGAGACUGAUGAAGUAUUUCUGGAAGCCCAGAUUCAGAAUAUGACAACCUCACCUAUGUUUAUGGAGAAGGUUUCACUGGAGCCAUCUAUUAUGUACAAUGUAACAGAAUUAAAUUCAG